rnacentral:lncRNA from 1 species
UAAGGGAGGCCUUCAUUCUGAUGUAACAAAGCCAGCUGUGUCCACAUGAGAACAUUGGCAAGAGUGGGGACAUGGAAGCUGUGUUCAGGCCGGUCCACGCUGGGUGACCCAUGUGACCUGCUGCUUAGCAAUUCCUUGUCACCAUCUUCCCUUCUCAGCCUCUUUUUUCAUGCUAACAGGCAUAAAUGAAAUGAUAAAAGUUUGAGCUCUUCUCGUGGAAUUCUCGUGAUACAGAUAUGUGCUACAUGUUCAUCAUCUCGUUGGUCUUCACCAUGAUAACUGUGGAGUAAGAAUUAUAAGCAGGUCACAGAUUAGGGACUUGAGAUUGACAGUUUGGCUUCCCUGUUCUGGGUGGCAAAGCCUGUGGAGUACUCACCUACCUGCUGCAUGAAGGCAGCAUGGAGGGACUGUGGUGGAUUAUCUGCAAAGAUGGCCAAAAUUCUCUCAUCCCUGCAGGCACAUACAAGGAGUUUGCAGUUCACCCGCAAACCUCAGCGAUCCAAGCUCCCCUGGAUGACCAUCACUCACCAAGAAAAGAGCAAUAACAG